GGUUAAGCGACUAAGCGUACACGGUGGAUGCCCUGGCAGUCAGAGGCGAUGAAGGGCGUGCUAAUCUGCGAUAAGCGUCGGCGAGGUGAUAUG
rnacentral:rRNA from 1 species